UUAGACAAUGCAAAUUUUGGAAUUUGCAUUGAUGCUGCAAUGUGUUAAUAUUUGGGGAGAUGUUGGGAUAAGGCAAAUGUGUUUUGCAUGUUGGACAGAUGUGAAUCUUUGAGGCCCAGAGGACAGGCUGUGGUAAGCAGAAUAAUGGGCUCCCAAAGAUGCCUACAUCCUAAUUGCCAGAACCUGUUAUAUUACAUGGCAAAGAAGAAUUAAAUUUGCGGGUGGAAUUUGGGUUGCUAAUCAGCUGAUAUCCUGCAUUAUCUCCAUGGGCCCAAUGUAAUUACAGAGUCUUUAUAUGUGGAGGAAGAAGGCAGAAAAGCCUGUGUCAGACUUAUGUGAUGUGAGAAACCCUUGACUGGCCAUUUCUGGCUUUGAAAAUGGAGGAAGGCAUGAGCCAAGGAAUGACAGGAAACUCUAGAAUCUGGAAAAGGAAAGAAAAUUGAUUUUCCCCUGGAGUUUCCUGAAAGGAAUGCAGCUCUGCCCCAUCUUGAUUUAGGCCCAGUGAGAACCAUUUAAAACGUCUGACCUCCAGAACUGUAAGGUCUAGUGGGGAACAUUAGUGCAGCUCAGCAAUAUUUCCAGUUAUUCUCUGUCUGGGCAUACUGAAGGAUUGCAUGGUGCUACUCCUCUUUGAAGAUGACAGAGGCCACAUGAUUUGCUUUGGCUGAUAAAUAGUGAGUGGAAGAAAUAUGCACCACUUUCAGAUGAAAAUAAUCAAUAACUGUAACUUGGCUUGUCAAACUGCUUUUUAUAUUCUUUCAUGUCAUUCAUGGAGGUGUCAUAAAAUUCACGCAUCCUGGAAAGCUGAGCCAACACAGAAGACAACUGACCUGGAAUGUCAGCCAGGCGUGUGAUGUAUUUUGCACAAGAUAUUUUUAUUGGAUUAAGCCACUGAGAUUUAGGGGCUGCCCGUUAACACAGCAAAGCUCAUCUUAUGCUACCUAUGUCUUCUACACCUGUGAAAUGUCUAUGGUGACUAUUAGAAUGUGUUUGAAUACAGCUGAACUUACUCUACCAAAUAUUAAAUAUUUAAGUGUUCUAAUUAGGUAAAAUUUGGAAAUCUUUGCAUAUCAUGGAUUUUUAUAUCAGCCCAAGUAUUUGAAAUACGUAGAAUAGUAUAUGAACAUGGCAGUAACAUGACAAAUAAGCAUCCCUUAGUAUUUAAAGGGCACUUAUAAAGUCUUUAUUAUCCUGGAAUAUUUAGUUCAAUGAAUACAAUAACAUCACAAGAAAGAAAACAUCAUGAAUAGAUAAAAUGUAGUUAUCCAUUUAUUUCUUAUUUCUGUAUUCACCAGGAAAGUUUUUUCUGUGUGUUCUUUUAUUUGUAAACAGCUACUUGGUAACUAAGAGGCAUUAAAUUAAAGACUAACUUGACUUUGCCAGGUCAUCAAAUUCUGAUCCAUAAUGAACUCUGUGUAUAAAUAAAAAGCAGAUCAUUUUUUUCCAUCAAAGAGGUAGUUCUUUACAUUUCUAAAUCCAAGUCUCUCAAUAUUCACUCUUUGUAGAAUUUUUAUAA
rnacentral:lncRNA from 1 species